UACGUAGGGCGCAAGCGUUAUCCGGAAUUAUUGGGCGUAAAGAGCUCGUAGGCGGUUUGUCGCGUCUGCCGUGAAAGUCCGGGGCUCAACUCCGGAUCUGCGGUGGGUACGGGCAGACUAGAGUGAUGUAGGGGGAGACUGGAAUUCCUGGUGUAGCGGUGAAAUGCGCAGAUAUCAGGAGGAACACCGAUGGCGAAGGCAGGUCUCUGGGCAUUAACUGACGCUGAGGAGCGAAAGCAUGGGGGAGCAAACAGG
rnacentral:rRNA from 1 species